UGGGCUAUAGCCAAGUGGUAAGGCAACAGGUUUUGAUCCUGUGAUGCGCUGGUUCGAACCCAGCUAGCCCAA
rnacentral:tRNA from 2 species